rnacentral:misc_RNA from 1 species
GGCACGCCCGAAGUCGUUACUCUAACCUUAUUGGAGGAGGGCGCCGAAGGCAGGGCUAGUGACUGGGGUGAAGUCGUAACAAGGUAGCCGUACCGGAAGGUGUGGCUGGAUCACCUCCUUUUAGGGAGACCUUUUUUCAGUGAACAGUGAACAGUGAACAGUGAACAGUUAAAAGUUCCCUGUCACAGAUAACUGAUAACUGAUAACUGUUCACUGAAGAACAUCCCAAGGUCGUGCAAGGGACAGAAAAAAAGCCAAAGCUUUCAAACUAUAAAGUCGGUUCGGAUGAAUCAGCGAACAGCCGUCAGUCAAACAACUGAUAACUGAUAACUGACAACUGACAACUGACAAGGGCUAUUAGCUCAGGUGGUUAGA